CGGACGGGUGAGUAACACGUGGAUAACCUACCUAUAAGACUGGGAUAACUUCGGGAAACCGUAGCUAAUACCGGAUAAUAUAUUGAACCGCAUGGUUCAAUAGUGAAAGACGGUUUUGCUGUCACUUAUAGAUGGAUCCGCGCCGCAUUAGCUAGUUGGUAAGGUAACGGCUUACCAAGGCGACGAUGCGUAGCCGACCUGAGAUGGUGAUCGGCCACACUGGAACUGAGACACGGUCCAG
rnacentral:rRNA from 1 species